rnacentral:other from 1 species
CUCCUUCUGGAGUAUUCGCCAGUGAAUGGUAUUCCCUGAGCCGAUACGCAUCACUUAGGACAUGCAACCUACUGUUUUGUUGUGUAUGCCUGCAUCAUGUUUGAUAUAUCAGGAAACCUAAAAAGACAGUGUCAUGUCCGCCCUGAACUUUACGGUUCAUGGGUUCUCAUCUCACAGCGGUACUCUGGUUUUUAU